rnacentral:rRNA from 1 species
GGUCCCUAUCCGGCGUGGGCGCAGGAUAUUUGAGAGGAGCUGUCCUUAGUACGAGAGGACCGGGAUGGACCGACCACUGGUGGAUCUGUUAGGUAUCAGGCCUAUGGCAGAGUAGCCAAGUCGGGAAGGGAUAAACGCUGAAGGCAUCUAAGCGUGAAGCCCCCCUCAAGAUGAGAUAUCCCAUUCCGUAAGGAAGUAAGACCCCUUGAAGACGACGAGGUAGAUAGGGCAGAGGUGGAAGUACGGUAACGUAUGGAGCUGACUGUUACUAAUCGGUCGAGGGCUUAACCAG